UAAACACACUAAAGGAUCACUACCGACUGAUCAGUACUAAACACCAGCCUAGUGUCACACGCUGGCUACAGGUACUUUCAAAACAUGGAGGUAAGGAGGACGACAUGAAAAGAGUCAUCGACCUUAAAUCUCAGCUUUAGCAAACAAAGAAUCGGUUUGAUGAUCUGAAAGUGAUACCCCUAGAGGAGCAAACAAAGAAUGGAGAUGAUGACAGGGAUGAUGCAUUUGAAGACGUGCCAGAGAAAGCAGGAUUUGAAGCAGAUGAUCCUGAACACUUCAAGAAAGAUUC